rnacentral:rRNA from 1 species
AAUGAACGCUGGCGGCGUGCUUAACACAUGCAAGUCGAACGGUGACCCUCGGAGCUUGCUUCGGGGUGAACAGUGGCGAACGGGUGAGUAACACGUGAGUAACCUGCCCCUGACUCUGGAAUAAGCGCUGGAAACGGCGUCUAAUACCGGAUAUGACACGAACGGGCAUCCGUAUCGUGUGGAAAGUUUUUCGGUCUGGGAUGGACUCGCGGCCUAUCAGCUUGUUGGUGAGGUAAUGGCUCACCAAGGCGAUGACGGGUAGCCGGCCUGAGAGGGCGACCGGCCACACUGGGACUGAGACACGGCCCAGACUCCUACGGGAGGCAGCAGUGGGGAAUAUUGCACAAUGGGCGAAAGCCUGAUGCAGCGACGCCGCGUGAGGGAUGACGGCCUUCGGGUUGUAAACCUCUUUCAGCAGGGAAGAAGCGAAAGUGACGGUACCUGCAGAAGAAGCACCGGCUAACUACGUGCCAGCAGCCGCCGUAA